rnacentral:rRNA from 1 species
AGAGUUUGAUCCUGGCUCAGGAUGAACGCUGGCGGUAUGCUUAACACAUGCAAGUCGAACGGAUGUUUUCGGACAUUAGUGGCGGACGGGUGAGUAACGCGUGAGAAUCUAGCUUCAGGUUGGGGACAACAGUUGGAAACGACUGCUAAUACCGAAUGUGCCGAAAGGUGAAAGAUUUAUUGCCUGAAGAAGAGCUCGCGUCUGAUUAGCUAGUUGGUGGGGUAAGAGCUUACCAAGGCGACGAUCGGUAGCUGGUCUGAGAGGACGAUCAGCCACACUGGGACUGAGACACGGCCCAGACUCCUACGGGAGGCAGCAGUGGGGAAUUUUCCGCAAUGGGCGAAAGCCUGACGGAGCAAUACCGCGUGAGGGAAGAAGGCUCUUGGGUUGUAAACCUCUUUUCUGAGGGAAGAAAAAAAUGACGGUACCUCAGGAAUCAGCAUCGGCUAACUCCGUGCCAGCAGCCGCGGUAAUACGGAGGAUGCAAGCGUUAUCCGGAAUGAUUGGGCGUAAAGCGUCCGCAGUGGGCAAUUCAAGUCUGCGGUUAAAGGUUCUGGCUCAACCAGAGACAGGCCGUGGAAACUGAAUAGCUAGAGUAUGGUAGGGGCAGAGGGAAUUCCCAGUGUAGCGGUGAAAUGCGUAGAGAUUGGGGAA